rnacentral:rRNA from 1 species
AUGCGCGUCGAGUUGCAGACCCCAAUCCGAACUGAGACCGGCUUUAAGUGAUUCGCUCAACCUCACAGUCUCGCAGCACUCUGUACCGGCCAUUGUAGCAUGCGUGAAGCCCAAGACAUAAGGGGCAUGAUGAUUUGACGUCAUCCCCACCUUCCUCCGAGUUGACCCCGGCAGUCUCACAUGAGUCCCCACCACAACGUGCUGGCAACAUGCGACGAGGGUUGCGCUCGUUGCGGGACUUAACCCAACAUCUCACGACACGAGCUGACGACAACCAUGCACCACCUGUACACCAGCCAAAAAGGCACGCACAUCUCUGCACGCUUCCGGUGUAUGUCAAGCCUUGGUAAGGUUCUUCGCGUUGCAUCGAAUUAAUCCGCAUGCUCCGCCGCUUGUGCGGGCCCCCGUCAAUUCCUUUGAGUUUUAGCCUUGCGGCCGUACUCCCCAGGCGGGGCGCUUAAUGCGUUAGCUACGGCGCAGAAUCCGUGGAAUGGACCCCACACCCAGCGCCCAACGUUUACGGCAUGGACUACCAGGGUAUCUAAUCCUGUUCGCUACCCAUGCUUUCGCUUCUCA